rnacentral:ncRNA from 1 species
GUAAAGGUGCUGAGGAAGAGGAGUACAUAAUGACUCUUGACAGAGAGAACCGCUCAUUGGCUGGAAAGCGGUUUCAGAAGAGAAUUGUGGAAGGUAGCUUCUGAACUGGAGGUCUGAAUAUAACAACGGUAAGAUGUCCCGGAAUUGUCUACGUUACAGGACUGGUGUACUGCUGCAUUAACUUUUCCGGGCAAGCUAUUUUGCGAAAUAUUAAUGCAGCAGUGCUCUAAAGAGAUGCCCCCUGUUGGAAAAAGCAAGAGAGUCAGAUGGCAUGAAAUUAAGGUGGUACCGCGUUGAUUACGCCCUUUAC